GGUUGAGUCAGUGGACUGGCUGGCUAGGAACCUGUCCCCUCCCUCCCUCCCAGCUCCACGUGUGUCCUACCUGAGCUGUGUGCUGGAUCCAGGAGGACAACUUUCCCUGAUAGAGGAGGACUGUUGUACUAGUAGCUGCAGUCCCCAAACCAGCUCUCAAGAUAGGGCUGAAGUGGGGAGUGGUGGCCCAUGCCUGUAAUCCCAGUGCUCAGGAGGCUGAG
rnacentral:snRNA from 1 species